rnacentral:rRNA from 1 species
CCUACGGGAGGCAGCAGUGGGGAAUUUUGGACAAUGGGCGCAAGCCUGAUCCAGCAAUGCCGCGUGAGUGAAGAAGGCCUUCGGGUUGUAAAGCUCUUUUGUCAGGGAAGAAACGGUGGGAGCUAAUAUCUCCCGCUAAUGACGGUACCUGAAGAAUAAGCACCGGCUAACUACGUGCCAGCAGCCGCGGUAAUACGUAGGGUGCAAGCGUUAAUCGGAAUUACUGGGCGUAAAGCGUGCGCAGGCGGUUUUGUAAGUCUGUCGUGAAAGCCCCGGGCUCAACCUGGGAAUUGCGAUGGAGACUGCAAGGCUUGAAUCUGGCAGAGGGGGGUAGAAUUCCACGUGUAGCAGUGAAAUGCGUAGAGAUGUGGAGGAACACCGAUGGCGAAGGCAGCCCCCUGGGUCAAGAUUGACGCUCAUGCACGAAAGCGUGGGGAGCAAACAGGAUUAGAUACCCUGGUAGUCCACGCCCUAAACGAUGUCUACUAGUUGUCGGGUUUUAAUUAACUUGGUAACGCAGCUAACGCGUGAAGUAGACCGCCUGGGGAGUACGGUCGCAAGAUUAAACUUCAAAGGAAUUGACGG